rnacentral:rRNA from 1 species
UACAGAGGGUGCAAGCGUUAAUCGGAAUUACUGGGCGUAAAGCGUGCGUAGACGGUUACAUAAGUCGGGUGUGAAAGCCCCGGGCUCAACCUGGGAAUUGCAUUCGAGACUGCGUAGCUAGGGUGCGGAAGAGGGAAGCGGAAUUUCCGGUGUAGCGGUGAAAUGCGUAGAUAUCGGAAGGAACACCAGUGGCGAAGGCGGUGGUCUGGGCCGGAACUGACGCUGAGGAGCGAAAGCGUGGGUAGCAAACAGG